CCUACGAGCUGCAGCAGUGGGGAAUCUUGCACAAUGGGGGAAACCCUGAUGCAGCGACGCCGCGUGAGUGAAGAAGUAUUGCGGUAUGUAAAGCUCUAUCAGCCGGGAAGAAAAUUACGGUACCUGCUUAAUACGCCCCGGCUAACUACGUGCCCGCCGCCGCGGUAAUACGUAGGGUGCAAGCGUUAUCCGGAUUACUGUGUGUAAAGGGAGCGUAGACGGCAGCACAAGUCUGGAGUGAAAUGCCGGGGCUUAACCCCGGAACUGCUUUGGAAACUGUGCAGCUAGAGUGCAGGAGAGGUAAGUGGAAUUCCGAGUGUAGCGGUGAAAUGCGUAGAUAUUAGGAGGAACACCAGUGGCGAAGGCGGCUUACUGGACUGUAACUGACGUCGAGGCUCGAAAGCGUGGGGAGCAAACAGGAUUAGAUACCCUAGUAGUC
rnacentral:rRNA from 1 species